rnacentral:rRNA from 1 species
AUUGAACGCUGGCGGCAUGCCUUACACAUGCAAGUCGAACGGCAGCACGGGAGCAAUCCUGGUGGCGAGUGGCGAACGGGUGAGUAAUAUAUCGGAACGUGCCCAGUCGUGGGGGAUAACGUAGCGAAAGCUACGCUAAUACCGCAUACGAUCUAUGGAUGAAAGCGGGGGAUCGCAAGACCUCGCGCGAUUGGAGCGGCCGAUAUCAGAUUAGGUAGUUGGUGAGGUAAAGGCCUACCAAGGCGACGAUCCAUAGCUGGUCUGAGAGGAUGAUCAGCCACACUGGGACUGAGACACGGCCCAGACUCCUACGGGAGGCAGCAGUGGGGAAUAUUGGACAAUGGGCGAAAGCCUGAUCCAGCAAUGCCGCGUGAGUGAUGAAGGCCUUAGGGUUGUAAACUGCUUUGUACGGAACGAAACGGUGAGCUCUAAUACAGUUUGCUAAUGACGGUACCGUAAGAAUAAGCACCGGCUAACUACGUG